CUGGGGUUGGCUAUAUAAUAGCUGCUGUUUAAACAGUAGUAAUAUUCAACGAUUACUUCAUCUGAGAAAAAAAAAGUGAAAUACGGACGAAGAACAGAAUCUAAAUUUCAAAUAACAAAAUGCCGCACAGUCGACUUGCGAUAUACGUGGCAGUGUUUCUUGUUUUGGCUCAACUUUUUGAAAUACCAUCCGCCAAGCGUUUAAAACUUUGUCGGUUAAACCGAAGAACAAACAUGUGCCAUGACGCCAUUCUGAUUGGACCGAUGCACCGGUACAAGAAAAGUCUAUGCGAGAUUGCGGGUGGAAGUUGUACGUUAUUCAAAGGACGCGUUAGAACAAGGUGUAUUUGUAACAGUAGAAGUGAUGUAUAAAAUAAGAAGGAAAAAAAAACACUUUUGUUGAUCUCAAUGUCAAGAUCCAAGUAUAAAUUAAAAAGUAGUUCUCAAUGAUAUUUGUAGAAGGAAAUUUAACAAGCGAAAAUAGACUUAAAUCGUGAUUGAUUCAUAACGAAGUCUAAAUAGCUAUUUACAUUGGAUAAACUCGAGUCCUCAUACCAACAAGGACAUAAUACGAACUAGAUCUAUGUUGAAUAUUAUUGACCUUGGCAACGCCGUUCAAACGCAUAGAUCUAUUAGAAAAGACAAAACGAGCUACUACUGCGUGGUGGAUAAAAGUCUCAAUUUGAAAAAUAAAGAGAAAAUAUCUUUUGCUGAACUGAAUAUUAUGCGAUAACCUUCAGAUUGUGUUUAAACCAUUUUUAAUAUAAUAUGAAUUAAGGCACCGCCUAGCAUUGGGGAUUUAUCUUUUAUAGCGAGCUCGAGAAUCGAGCUUUACGGUAACGCAAGUAUACUUUCACACUUGGUGAUGGAUUUGAAAAGUUUCGUCGGAAGUUUUAAAAAAGCGCACCCUAGCGGACUGGUGCUCACAGGAAGUACUUCUUUCCGGAGUGAAUACAGAACUUCAUUCAAUUGCUAAAAAUUACUCAUCACUUAACAAUAAUGAAAAAAAUGAUUUCCAGUUGUUUGAAAAAAAUAUUGUUUUCAUUUAAAAGAUCAAGCAUCGGCCAGAAAAUGGAAAAAAUGUCAUAAUAAGCCAAAAGAAACGGGAACGCGGUAAUGACGUCACCGUGACACCGGCUUCCCAUAAAUUUUGCAACGUAUGAUAUUCACUGUUAUAGGUAUGGUGACACUAAAUGUAGACUUUUUCAGUGAAGGUUAAAGGUCAGUAAUUCAAAUCCUUCUUUGUUUCAUAUAAAAAACGACAACUUCAGGUCGUCUUUACGUAUCUUUAGAGAACAUCACUUUUUCCUACACCUAUUUUUCAUGAAAGUUCUAUCACAAAUUAACGAAAAAAUGAAAAGAAAAUAGGGGGUUAUGUAGUUCCUAUUGAAAUGCCAGUCAGUUGUGGUCUGCUACCCUAAAAAUGGCUCAUAUUUACUCUCGUCCGCGCAAUAAACACCUACUUCCGGUUUCGAUCUGCAAAACUUGCCAUGUGGGUUGUAUGAACAUGAAAACCGUCUCAUUUCAUGCAGAAUGUCUUCUAGUAGUGAAAAACGGUGACUAAAGCACUCGUUCUACACGAAUUUGCGCAAAAAAUGGGAAAAUUAGGAUCUAUUUAUUAUGGACUUCUUUCGACACCACGGAAGCACAUUUUCGACCGAAUUACUGACCUUAUUCCUGAAUAGGUUCUCCUGAGUUCUUGUGACUAGUGAAUAGUUUCUUUGUGACAAAUAAAUGAUGCAUAAUAUUUUCAGAUAAAUCCGAUUUCUUUGAGCUCGCUUUGAGGCUUUGCCUUAUUUCAUAUUAUAUCCGCUUAGAAAGAAAUAUUCAACGCUCAAGAAAGUGAAACUUUGCUCUAAACUGUAGUUUACAUUUAGUGUCAUCAUACCUCUUACAGCGAAUAUCAUACUUUGCAAAAUUAACGGAAGCCAUGCCGGUGACGUCAUUCAGCGUUCUCGCACUAGCUUUUAGAAUUUUGUUUUGUUUGUUUGCACUCCACGCAGAAACUUGACGGUCUUUACACUUCCUUACUGUUUUAAAAGUGUUUUUCAGUAGCACGUACAGUUUUCAUUACAAAAAAGAAGUAAAAUUAUCAUGUUAGCGCGGUUUACGAGUUUCUAUGACUGAUACGGGGUGCUCGGAUGUUCAUAAAGACAACCAGUCAGCGGAUUUUACAUAAACCGGAACCGGAAAACAUCGAAAAAAUUGCCUCAGUAUAUGCAAACAGCAAAGACGAAUAUCUAUAUACGGACGUUACCGUCCCGGGGAUUUUCAUCCCCGGCGCUUGGCGCCGGUGAUAAAUCCCUUAUUAAUGAUUUUAUUAUUUUUUUGUUGAAUUAUCUAUCAUUCAAAAUGCCGCAUUUCAUUAUUUUUGAAAACAAGUGUUAAAUGGCAUGCGGUAUAUAAUGGCCAGUUUAUCAAUAAUCGGAAUAAUGGUUCAUUUGUAAGUAGUGUAAUUUUACGUAAAUCGUCUGUGACUUUUUCACCUGGAUGUAUCUGAGGUUCUUACUGACUUUCUUAUGAUAUCAAAAUGCAUAUAACCUUCUUCAUUUUUGUCUAAUUUAAAACUUAGGAAAACUUUUAUUUCCCCAAAUCUGUUUUUUAAUAUAUAGUUCGAAAGAGAACUUUUUGUAACUGAAAAAAAAAACAGGAUUCGUUUUUUUUUUAAAGUCUGAUGAAUAUUCAUGCCCACCACUUCCGCUCUGUAUCCAGUGUAAGACCAGUUACUGAAGUUUCAUAAUAAAUAAUGUGUCCAAAAAAUUUUUUUAUCUUUUUAUUUAGCUACAAAGUCUUUUCCAGAGAUUUGUUAGAGAAUGUAGGAUAAAGACGGACAAAAGUCAUAACUUUGAUAUAUCAUAGCGAAAACAUGAAAAUAUACUUGUCUCUCUAUCUGUUUUUAUAUGAGUACAUUUUCUUCUGGUCAAGUUUUAUUUAUAAUAAACUAUAUGUGAACCAGAUGUACGAUAGAAGUAUUAAUUCAAGAAUCCACGGAAAAGAAAAUCUGUCAACAUCAUCAUCACGUCUGCUGCCAGUGUGCUUGGUUGUGGUCUAUACUUACAAAUUAGUUAUUAUGUUAUAAAAAUCACGCAUUUGCAAAAAUAUAAUUGUCAUGUCUUAAGCAGAUUUCGCUGAUACAUUGUAUGUAAAAUUAAUGUCACAAAUUAUUAUGUCUAGUUUUGUUUUAGUGGUGGUAAAUUAAACAGGGUAUACUAUGAA